rnacentral:rRNA from 1 species
GGCAGCAUGGUCUUAGCUUGCUAAGGCUGAUGGCGACCGGCGCACGGGUGAGUAACACGUAUCCAACCUGCCGUCUACUCUUGGCCAGCCUUCUGAAAGGAAGAUUAAUCCAGGAUGGCAUCAUGAGUUCACAUGUCCGCAUGAUUAAAGGUAUUUUCCGGUAGACGAUGGGGAUGCGUUCCAUUAGAUAGUAGGCGGGGUAACGGCCCACCUAGUCAGCGAUGGAUAGGGGUUCUGAGAGGAAGGUCCCCCACAUUGGAACUGAGACACGGUCCAAACUCCUACGGGAGGCAGCAGUGAGGAAUAUUGGUCAAUGGGCGAUGGCCUGAACCAGCCAAGUAGCGUGAAGGAUGACUGCCCUAUGGGUUGUAAACUUCUUUUAUAAAGGAAUAAAGUCGGGUAUGCAUACCCGUUUGCAUGUACUUUAUGAAUAAGGAUCGGCUAACUCCGUGCCAGCAGCCGCGGUAAUACGGAGGAUCCGAGCGUUAUCCGGAUUUAUUGGGUUUAAAGGGAGCGUAGAUGGAUGUUUAGGUCAGUUGUGAAAGUUUGCGGCUCAACCGUAAAAUUGCAGUUGAUACUGGAUGUCUUGAGUGCAGUUGAGGCAGGCGGAAUUCGUGGUGUAGCGGUGAAAUGCUUAGAUAUCACGAAGAACUCCGAUUGCGAAGUCAGCCUGCUAAGCUGCAACUGACAU